rnacentral:rRNA from 1 species
UAGGGAAUCUUCGGCAAUGGGGGCAACCCUGACCGAGCAACGCCGCGUGAGUGAAGAAGGUUUUCGGAUCGUAAAGCUCUGUUGUAAGAGAAGAACGUGUGUGAGAGUGGAAAGUUCACACAGUGACGGUAACUUACCAGAAAGGGACGGCUAACUACGUGCCAGCAGCCGCGGUAAUACGUAGGUCCCGAGCGUUGUCCGGAUUUAUUGGGCGUAAAGCGAGCGCAGGCGGUUUAAUAAGUCUGAAGUUAAAGGCAGUGGCUUAACCAUUGUUCGCUUUGGAAACUGUUAAACUUGAGUGCAGAAGGGGAGAGUGGAAUUCCAUGUGUAGCGGUGAAAUGCGUAGGUAUAUAGAGGAACACCAGUGGCGAAAGCGGCUCUCUGGUCUGUAACUGACGCUGAGGCUCGAAAGCGUGGGGAGCAAACAGG